rnacentral:rRNA from 1 species
AUUGAACGCUGGCGGCAGGCUUAACACAUGCAAGUCGAGCGGAGAUGAGGUGCUUGCACCUUAUCUUAGCGGCGGACGGGUGAGUAAUGCUUAGGAAUCUGCCUAUUAGUGGGGGACAACAUUCCGAAAGGAAUGCUAAUACCGCAUACGUCCUACGGGAGAAAGCAGGGGAUCUUCGGACCUUGCGCUAAUAGAUGAGCCUAAGUCGGAUUAGCUAGUUGGUGGGGUAAAGGCCUACCAAGGCGACGAUCUGUAGCGGGUCUGAGAGGAUGGUCCGCCACACUGGGACUGAGACACGGCCCAGACUCCUACGGGAGGUAGCAGUGGGGAAUAUUGGACAAUGGGGGGAACCCUGAUCCAGCCAUGCCGAGUGUGUGAAGAAGGCCUUAUGGUUGUAAAGCACUUUAAGCGAGGAGGAGGCUACUGAGACUAAUACUCUUGGAUAGUGGACGUUACUCGCAGAAUAAGCACCGGCUAACUCUGUGCCAGCCGCCGCAGUAACAC